UACGGGGGGGGCAAGCGUUGUUCGGAAUUACUGGGCGUAAAGGGCUCGUAGGUGGCCAACUAAGUCAGACGUGAAAUCCCUCGGCUUAACCGGGGAACUGCGUCUGAUACUGGAUGGCUAGAGAUUGGGAGAGGGAUGCGGAAUUCCAGGUGUAGCGGUGAAAUGCGUAGAUAUCUGGAGGAACACCGGUGGCGAAGGCGGCAUCCUGGACCAACACUGACGCUGAGUGAGCGAAAGCCAGGGGAGCAAACGGG
rnacentral:rRNA from 1 species